ACCGUAACCGUGCCCCAGGCCUCUACAGGCGGGAAGUCACGGCAGAGAGGGGGUAACGGCUCCCGCUAUUGGAUGAGCCUAUGUCGGAUUAGCUAGUUGGUGAGGUAAAGGCUCACCAAGGCGACGAUCCGUAGCUGGUCUGAGAGGAUGAUCAGCCACAUCGGGACUGAGACACGGCCCGAACUCCUACGGGAGGCAGCAGUGGGGAAUAUUGGACAAUGGGCGCAAGCCUGAUCCAGCCAUGCCGCGUGUGUGAAGAAGGCCCUCGGGUUGUAAAGCACUUUCAGCGAGGAAGAACGCCUAGCGGUUAAUACCCGCUAGGAAAGACAUCACUCGCAGAAGAAGCACCGGCUAACUCCGUGCCAGCAGCCGCGGUAAUACGGAGGGUGCAAGCGUUAAUCGGAAUUACUGGGCGUAAAGCGCGCGUAGGUGGCUUGAUAAGCCGGUUGUGAAAGCCCCGGGCUCAACCUGGGAACGGCAUCCGGAACUGUCAAGCUAGAGUGCAGGAGAGGAAGGUAGAAUUCCCGGUGUAGCGGUGAAAUGCGUAGAGAUCGGGAGGAAU
rnacentral:rRNA from 1 species